rnacentral:lncRNA from 10 species
CCCGCCCCGCCCUUGCCCGCACAGGUGUGGCACCCGCCCGCCCCGCCGCACGGAGCCGCCUGCCCGCGGCCACACGCCAGGCGUCACUCGGGCUGGCGCCGGUCUACCUAGGCAGGCGUGGGACCUGUCGGGGGCUUCACGGCAGCGCGGAAGGCCAGCCUGCAGAGAGGCUGGGCCCAGCGCCCUGACUGACCCAGCCCCGCCACGUCCAAGGUUCCCGCCCUCUGGAGGAAGCCGCGCAAUCACUCCGGGGGCGGGGAGAGACAGACAACUGAGAGGAAGGAGGUACCACGGGCACUCUCUCGCGAGAGGGCCGCAGAGCCGCCUUUGACGGGGGCGUGUACCUGGAGAGCAACGUGACAUCUGUUUGAGCAGAUGAAUAUGCCAUUGGGAAAGUCAAGGACUGUCGGAGAGGAGGACAUGGCAGACCUUAACUAAAGUGAGGGGGACAGUAGAGCACUAAAAGUUCUAGGAAAGGAGAUGAACUGCUUAUUCCAUCAGAUGAAAAUAUAGUCAGAACAGAUGAGUAGUAGAACUUAAACAUGCCCGGAGUUGCCAGGAAUUUGCAAAAGCCUUGAUAUAAUUCCUGUUGCUGUAGAAAGACUUUCUACAGUCACUAAUAUAUCAAGUUAUGUUCACUAGAAAAAAAGUUUACUUAGUUUAUAGAAAUGGGCUGAAAAAUCCUAAUUACUUAUCUGUGAGGUUAUUUUCAUGAAGGUUAAUCAUCCAGAAACUAUUAGAGAGCCUCGGAAUAUAUUUCUUCUAAUCUGCUCUACCUAUCCCAUUCAAAGGAGGGAAUCUGAAGAUUUAAGGACAAAGAGCAGUUGAAAACUCAGAGCUGUGGUUAAUGGGAGAAUUUCAAGGAUGGUGAAAAAAACUAACAUCAUUGCAUCCCUGUUUUUUGUAUUCUGGACUUUUUAGUUUAGCUCUUGGUAAACUACAUCAGAAAUUCUUUAUGCUAACUCUAACACACAUUUUGGGGUAUUGCUAAUUUAAUCUUUGAAUACUGUUUUUGCUGUUUCAUGAUUAUAUGUUAUGUCCUACCAGCUAGAUUGCCAACUCUUGACUACUGACUGGAAGUUUAUUGUUUAUUCAGCAAAUAAUGAAUUAAGUCAGUGAAGUGAGAGAUUUCGUGUGUAAGGAUUGUUAACUUGAACAUUUCACCAGUUACACACAGUUCAGCCCUACUUAAAUUUUAAAAAUCAUUGUUGGCACUUGACAUUGUUAUGAGGAGUUUUGUAUUUUCAACUUGUAUUUUGAGAGUGUCCUCAUGUGACUGAAGUAUGUGCUACUCUUCUUAAUUGAAUAACCCCAGAAUCUCCAGAAUUGAUAAUUGGAGGAAAUUCUACUGUUGGAAAGAAUGGAUGGAUUAUACAGCCCUGUUUUUUGACUGUUCAUUUUGUCCUUGGAGUCACUACCACUUGGCCUCAAAGUGUGAACAUGUAACCCUUUCCUUAAUACUUUGCUACACAGCUGAGCAGAAACUGUAAAUUUGGAUCCUUUGUCAGUACAACUUAAAAUGGAACAAUUUCAAUGGCUUAGGGUAAGAUAAGUAUGUAAAGAUACUUUUGUAAUAGAAGAAAAAACAUUGGAUAUUAAAAUCACACAGUAGUACCUGGGUGUGGUGGCUCAUGCCUAUAAUCCCAACGCUUUGGGAGGCCAAGACAGGAGCACUGCUGGAGGCCAGGAAUUUGAGACCAGCCUGGCCAACAUGGUGAAACCUCGUCUCUACCAAAAAAUACAAAAAUCAGCCAGGUGUGGUGGCACAUGCCUGUAAUCCCGGAUACUCGGGAGGCUGAGGUGGGAGAAUCGCUUGAACCAGGGAGGUGGAGGUUGCAGUGAGCUGAAAUCGCAAAACUGCACUCCAACCUGGGCAACAGAGUGAGACCUCCUGUCUCCAAAAAAAAAAAAAAAAAAAAAAAAAAGUGGGUGUGGUUGUGUACACCUCUACUUCCUGCUACUCAGGAGGCUGAGGCUGGAGGAUCUCUUGAGCCCAGGAGUUCAAGUCUGCAGUGAGCUAUAGUUGCACUGCUGCACUCCAGCCUGGGUAGCACAGCGAGACCCCCAUCUCUAAAACAUAAAAGUAAACAGGCUGGGUGCAGUGGCUUACACCUGUAAUCCCAGCACUUUGGGAGGCCGAGGAGGGUGGAUCAUGAGGUCAAGAGUUGAGACCAGCCUGGCCAACGUGGCGAAACCCCAUCUGUACUAAAAAUACAAAAAUUAGCCAGUCGUGGUGCCAGGUGCCUUUAAUCCCAGCUAUUCAGGAGGCUGAGACAGGAGAAUCGCUUGAACCUGGGAGACAGAGGUUGCAGUGAGCCAAGAUCAUGCCAUUGCACUUCAGCCUCGGGGACAAGAACAAGACUGUGUCUCAAAAAAAAAAAAAAAAGUAGAAAACAGAAUAGCAUAAGGAUAAUCUUAUAUACAAAAUAAGACUACUCAAUUUCUGAAUUUUUUUUUUAACUAGAUAUGCCACCUCCUGAUGACAGUGCCCAUUUCGUAACUUGUCUUACUCAGAAACAGCUCUUAGAUAAUUUUACUCUUUAAGUUCAGGUCUGAGCACAGAGGACAAAGAAUUCCCUUGAUUGCCUAUGAAAGAAAGGAUUCUCAACCUUGGCACUAUUGACAUUUUAAGUCAGAUAAUUCUUUGUUGUGGAAGGUUAUCCUGUGCAUUGUAGGAUGUUUAUUUUAUCAGCAUCCCUGGCUUCUACCCAGUAAAUCCCAGUAGCACCCCACCACCAACCAAAACUGUCUCAAAAUGUUGCUAGAUGCCCCUUGGGGACAAAAAUCCUCUCCCUCCCUCCUCCUUGAAUGCCACUGGCACUCCUUGAGCCUACAGAAGGGCUCUUCUCACAAGUUUGAUACCCUGUACCUCCCAGUUGAUAGUGGGAAUUACUUCUCCUUUGAAGACACAAUUCCAGUUACCCUGAGAAGUAUGGCAUUGGCCUUGCUGGCCUCCACCAAAUUACUAUAUCACUGUGUUUGGUAACCCCAGACAUCAUACUAGGGCUUUAAUUUCAGUAUAUAAAUAGUAAAUUAGUAUCCUUGUAUAGGUUAGCUUAAUGAGUUUCAGAAUUCUUCAAGUCAUAUCUUCAUAGGUAGGAUCACUGUGGAGUUAAUGGCAUUUGAACUAUGUACUCAGUACUAUGCUAGUGGUUGGUGCAAGGGGAAGAUACAAAAUAAGGUGUGAUUUUAGCCCAUGAGGAAUUUAUACUUUAUCUGCAGAAGCAAAUUAAUAUGGAACCGUUAGUGAACACCUGGAUAAAACAGAAUGCUAAAUUUUACCCUAGAGGUGCUUGGCCUGGACUUCAAGAAUUCUAAGUGAAUUGAAGUAUGUUCACAGUAAGAAAGGUUAAAAAUGGCUCUGCCCACUUGUAGGCAGAUGGGAAGCUAGGAUGGCAGACUUGCCAAUAUUUGAUAUAUGUAAAAAGUGCAAUCAUGGCCUCUGUUGUUUCCUCUUUUAUCUCGUUCUCUUUAUUAGUCCAGGUUCUCUAGAGGAAUAGAACUAAUAGGAGAUAUAUAUAUAUAUAUAUAUGGAGUUUAUUAAGUAGUAUUAACUCACAUGAUCACAAGGUCCCAGAAUAGGCCAUAUGCAAGCUGAGGAGAAAGGAAGGCAGUCGAGUUUCAAAGCUGAAGAACAUGGAGUCCAAUGUUUGAGGACGGGAAGCAUCCAACAUGGGAGAAAGCUGUAGGCUGGGAGGCUAAGCCAGUCUAGUCUUUUCAUGUUUUUCUGCCUGCUUUAUAUUCUGGUCGUGCUGGCAGCUGAUUAGAUGGUGCCCGCCCAGAUUAAGGGUGGGUCUGCCUUUCCCAGCCCACUAACUCAAAUGUUAAUCUCCUUUGGUAACACUCUCACAGACACAUUCAGGAUCGAUACUUUGCAUCCUUUAAUCCAAUCAAGUUGACUGUAUUAACCAUCACAAGUCCACCACUUGUCAACUUAAACACAUACAUAUCUCCUGAGAUCAUUCAUAAUCUUCAAAUAAAGACAAUAAUAAUGUCAUAAUUACACCUAAUACAACUAUCCUUUGUACAGCUGGAAACACACCAGUCCCCAACCCAAAUGCUAUUACAUAAAGUUAACAAUACUUAAAUGCUGAUAUGAAGUAAAUCUUAAUGUCCCAUGAUAAAAGGAGGCUGGGCGCAGUGGCUCACGCCUGUAAUCCCAGCACUUUGGGAGGCCGAGAUGAGUAAUGGCUUUUGACAGUAAUAGAGGGUCUCAACCUGAUUUUUCUUAAGUUUGCAUAAGGCUUAGGAGAGGAUAAAAUAAGGCAGGAUCUAGAGAUUGGUGAGGAGAAACGGAAGUCCUCAUUCUUGACAGCUCUCAGCACAUGCAGCCCUCCCCACACACACAGUCACACUCACACACACUCACAACCAGAUUCACAUUCCUACCCAUGCACACACUAACACACACUUGUGCACUUAAACUCGUGCACUUACACAUUCACAUUCAUAUACUCACAUGCACACAUUCAAAACACACACAUACUCUACAAACACUCAUGUUGCAAAAGGGGAUUUGUAAGCUGAAUGUUUAGAACUCAGAACACAUAUUUUCACAAAAAUAAUAUUAUGGUCGGGCGCUGUGGCUCACGCCUGUAAUCCUAGCACUUUGGGAGGCUCAGCUGGGCGGAUCACUUGAGAUCAGGAGUUCAGGACCAGCCUGGCCAACAUACUAAAAAUACAGAAAUUAGCCAGGCAUGGUGGUGCAUGCCUGUAAUCCCAGCUACUCGGGAGGCUGAGGCAGGAGAAUCACUUGAACCCAGGAGGCAAAGGUUGCAGUGAGCCGAGAUCCUGCCACUGCACUCCAGACUGGGCAACAAGAGCAAGGCUCCAUCUCAAAAAAAAAGGAAAUAAAAUGAAGAUAUUUUCUUAGUACAAGUGUAUAUAUGCACAAACAUGUUUUUAACAAAAGGAGGAAAUACUCAGGACAAUUACAAUCCUCAUUUCUGCAACUGUUCACUUGGUUGUAGCUGGUAUGGAUGACUAGCCUUCUACUACCCAUUCUGUAUUCCCUUUGCCUUCAGCAAGCACCUCAGCAGGUCGUGGUUUUUUUCCUGGUGGCGUAACCCAAACCUUCAUUUCUGAAGGGUCUGGACCAUUUGUAGUCCUUUCUGGACUGGGCUUUUAUAGUUUCCCAUUGACUUCAACCACAGGGCAUGGUAAUACUAAGAGACACCUUAAUAGAUCUCUGUAUUCCAUGCAUACUCUUCCUUACCUCAGUUGUGGAAUAGUAGACUGAUUUCAUCUUGAUGGUCCAGGUCAAUCACCCCAGCCAACACUGUAACUCCCUUCUUAGACUGUUGACUUAAAAGUAGUAGACUGGGCCGGGCGCGGUGGCUCACACCUGUAAUCCCAGCACUUUGGGAGGCCGAGGCGGGCAGAUCACGAGGUCAGGAGAUCGAGACCAUCCCAGCUAAAA